UUGGGGAAACAGAGCAUACAAUUUCAGAGCUGAGAGGGACUUUAAACCAUGGAACAGAAAAUGUUUAAGCUGAGAAGAGUCUUAGGAUAGAGAACAAAGAAUGUCAGACCCUAGCGGAAGAGAAAGAUUUCUUAGGAUAACCCGUCAUUUGCUACAAUCAAGCCUUGAAAGAGGAAAUAUCUUGCCCAAGGAAACACAACAGUCUAGAGAUGAAGAAGCAGAAGAAGAAGAAGAGGAAGAAGAGGAAGAGGAGGAGGAGGAGAAAGAAGAGGAAGAGGAGGA